rnacentral:rRNA from 1 species
GAUGAACGCUAGCGGCAGGCCUAAUACAUGCAAGUCGAACGGAUCCAGGGACUUCGGUUCCUGGGUUAGUGGCGCACGGGUGCGUAACGCGUAUGCAACCUACCUUCCACUGGGGGAUAGCCCACCGAAAGGUGGAUUAAUACCGCAUAAGACCACACUCCGGCAUCGGAGAGUGCUCAAAGCUGAGGCGGUGGAAGAUGGGCAUGCGUGCCAUUAGCUAGUUGGCGGGGUAAAGGCCCACCAAGGCGACGAUGGCUAGGGGUUCUGAGAGGAUGGUCCCCCACACUGGUACUGAGACACGGACCAGACUCCUACGGGAGGCAG